AUUGAACGCUGGCGGCAUGCUUUACACAUGCAAGUCGAACGGUAACAGGCCGCAAGGUGCUGACGAGUGGCGAACGGGUGAGUAAUGCAUCGGAACGUGCCCAGCCGUGGGGGAUAACUACUCGAAAGAGUAGCUAAUACCGCAUACGAUCUAUGGAUGAAAGCGGGGGACCGUAAGGCCUCGCGCGAUUGGAGCGGCCGAUGUCAGAUUAGGUAGUUGGUGGGGUAAAGGCUCACCAAGCCAACGAUCUGUAGCUGGUCUGAGAGGACGACCAGCCACACUGGGACUGAGACACGGCCCAGGCUCCUACGGGAGGCAGCAGUGGGGAAUUUUGGACAAUGGGCGCAAGCCUGAUCCAGCAAUGCCGCGUGCAGGAAGAAGGCCUUCGGGUUGUAAACUGCUUUUGUACGGAACGAAACGGCUCUGGUUAAUACCCGGGGCUAAUGACGGUACCGUAAGAAUAAGCACCGGCUAACUACGUG
rnacentral:rRNA from 1 species